rnacentral:lncRNA from 1 species
CCCCUGUUUUCUCCUUCUUUUCCUCAGUGGAGACAUCUGGAAUGAACAGAUGCAGGAUUCUGACUGCAGCUCAAAUGUCACCACACUGUUGUCUGGGCUGCGUUAAACAUCUCGUUUGCGAGUUUGUGGCAUUAAAUGAUAUUGCUGGCUGAAUUUAUUGCUGUGAAGCAGCCAAUAAUACUGGCUAUUUCUAAGCAUUUGGUAGAAAAAACUCUGCUUUGUUGGAGCCAUGUGCUCAAGCUGGUCUGAGAUAAGUCUGAUGGAGUCCUCAGAGGACCAGCAGAAAACACUUUCUCCUGUUUUUUUUUUUUUUUUACAUUUUACAUUAAUAAUGUAUGUGUUGCUCUGAUUUUGAAGGCAAACAAUCGCACAUUUCAGUGUGCUUGCAGUUUGGACAUUGAGGAAAGUCCAAUUUCCUGAGUAAAACUUGAAACAAUUUCUUUUUAAAUUAGGGUGAAAGUUUGGGUCCAGACACUGUAAUAAAUGUAGUCUUUUCCGCACCCUAUACAAUCCAGACCUUCAACACAAAAAUGUGCUUUUGUACACUUUCACCAAUAAACGCUAUAGCACUCAUACAAAUGGUGGUAAAUAUCCAUCAGCCAGUUGCUAGGCAACGGUGCAACUCCCCAGCUAACACUGGGGUAUUGUGGCCCGAUGUGGGCUGUAUGGGGGUGAGUGGGUUGACAAGAUUGUCAGAGUUUGUUUGUUUUUAAGGAGAAACUCUCAGAUAGAAGACGUGAAAACAUUUGAUCACACUGAAGCUCUGAUGAAGGCUUCAGCUCUGCAGCUGCCACCGGAGCAGACAGGCAACAUUUCUGUCUCGUCUGACAUGAGCAGAUUUUCCAGAGGCGUCUGGAUGUUUGGGGACAGGCAGAACAGCAGGAAAUUCAAUCGAGGGGGAGCCCACCCAGCUACUGUUGGGCGAAGGCGGGGCCACACCCUGAAGAGGCCGCCAGUCCGUUGCAGGGCCCCUCAUGAAGAGCUUUGGAUAGCAACUCAACGAAAAGUUUCAGGUUUUAAUUGAAUUCCUCCCCUUUUUUCCUCAGUUCAACACAAUAUUUCACCCUAUUUUACAUCACUUUUUCAAAAUAAAGUGAUGCAAUUUCAUUUCACACACCAAGAAAAAAAAUCUCCUCAAUAACUCUGGGUGUAUAGAUUCAUCCGAAGGAAAGGGGUGCAGUCAUUUGAAACACUCCAACACACGAAACUUGAAACUUUAAAAAUGUAAUAAGGGUAUCCUGUCAACAUUAUAAUAAAGUUUAUACAGGAUAUAGAAAAGCCUGCCUCCUAAAAUGCUAUUAUGUGCAGGUCAGAUGGAUCUGUUUUAGAUUUAAAAGGUUGUUCUCUGUUUGCUGUCGUGACACAGCUCUCCAGUCCGACUCCUGGGGGGAUUUUAACUCCAUUUCUCAUCCCUACAAGGUAACCUAGGAGCUGGUUUGUCAGGCUUAGUCAAGCUGACUGUACCUUCAGCUUGUCGCCAAGCAGAACAAAAUGAGCGACCCCCAUGGAGAGGCAAGAGCUGCUCACUGGAGCUCAACUAAGCAAGGGGGGGGGGGGAGUUUAUAAAAAAAAAAACAUUGUAAUCACAGGAGGAGCAGUGUCUCUGGCUGGUUAAUUAGCAGUGGCAAGUUGGGGAUGUCUUUGAAGCUUCAUGGUUUGGCCACGGCAAAAUAACGGGCUGUCGUUGCAAAAAUAAAACCCAUUCAUGAGAAAAAAAAAAAAAAAGGAUUCAUUUGUUCACAUUUUUUUAGGACAAUAUGCAUAAAUUAACACUGUGUAAAAAAAAACGUUUAAAAAUAAGCAAGAAAAGCAGCUUGUGUCCAAGGCAAAAGGGUAAUUAAGCAAUAAUAAUAAAAGAAGCAGGGACAGCACAUGGUCAUAUUUGUUUUCCAUAUAUUUAUAUGCUGUUUUUUGUAAUAUAUCAGCAUCUGGACAAAAGGCAUAAGCAGACAGGGGAGACCUUUCCUGUUGUGAGACUUUUCAUUCAACACUAAAGUGAAAAAGUUUUCAUCUCAAUCACAUAAUCACACAGAUCCCCACGAUGCGCCUCUUACUGUAUUUAUUACUUCUUUGUUUUUUGAAAUGUUGGGGCGUCACAUGUGGCAAAAAGCCUCCAGGCUGUUUCUCUCUUGAUACCUCACAUCCUCAGUCUUUCCUCUCCAUCUAAUGAUAACUACCUGGCAGUGAGGACAAACAUCGUGGACGAGCCACAAGGAAACGCUGUCUGGCAUCAUUAAGCACCACCUGCCACCACCAGCCAGCAAGGCUGGGAUGGAGUCAGUGCUGCAGUAAAACUAUGCCACCCUGUGGCAGGAAAAAGCUUCGGGGCAGCUCAGAGGCCCUGCAAGCUCCAUCUGACAUGUUGAGCUGGAUUUAAAAAGAAAAGACUUGAUUUUAGUAUAAUUUAAUGCAACACUGGUCCCUGAAGGAUGUUUUUGUCUGUGCGGUGUUUCGCUCGUGGAUGUGUUAUAUAUGCUCACAAACAACAACUUUUUUUUUUUUCUGGAGCAACAGACUUUACUGAGAUUUUAGCUCUAAGACGGGAAGAAAUGUGAGAACAAAGAUGCAAAUCCUAACUGAAGCCUACAAUGCAGUUUGUGCACAGCGUGUACAGAGCAUUUAGUAAUGCAUGUAUGAUUUUCAAAUAGUAAGAUAUGCAGAUUGUUGUCAACCAAAUCCAUUUUUCC